GACGAACGCUGGCGGCGUGCUUAACACAUGCAAGUCGAACGAAGUGGCGAACGGGUGAGUAACGCGUAAUCAACCUGCCCUUCAGAGGGGGACAACAGUUGGAAACGACUGCUAAUACCGCAUACUGAAGGAGGGGAUUGCGUCUGAUUAGCUAGUUGGAGGGGAAAAGGCCCACCAAGGCGAUGAUCCGUAGCCGGUCUUAGAGGAUGAACCGCCAAAAUGGGAAUGGGACACGGCCCAGACUCCUUCGGGAGGCAGCAGUGGGGAAUCUUCCAAAAUGGACGAAAGUCUGACGGAGCAACGCCGCGUGAGUGAUGACGGCCUUCGGGUUGUAAAGCUCUGUUAAUCGGGACGCGGUACCGGAAUAGAAAGCCACGGCUAACUACGUGCCAGCAGCCGCGGUAAUAC
rnacentral:rRNA from 1 species